UCCUCACAUUUCAAAAACCAAUCAUGGCUUCCCAACAGUCCCCCAAAGUCUUAACUCAUUUUAGCGUUAACCCAAAAACCCACAGUCCAAAGUCUCAUCUGAGACAAGGCAAGUCCCUUCCGCCUAUGAGCCUGUAAAAUUAAAAGCAAACUAGUUACUUCCUAGAUACAAUGAGGGUACAGGUAUUGGGUAAAUACAGCCAUUUCAAAUGGGAGAAAUUAGCCAAAACAAAAAGGGGUUACAGGGCCCAUGCAAAUUUGAAAUCCAGGGGGGCAGUCAAAUUUUAAAGCUCCAAAAUGAUCUCCUUUGACUCCAGGUCUCACAAUCAGAUCACACUGAUGCAGGAGGUGGGUUCCCAUGGUCUUGAGCAGCUCUGCCCCUGUGCCUUUGCAAGGUACAGACUUCCUUCAGGCUGCUUUCACCGGCUGGUAUUGAGUGUCUGUGGCUUUUUUAGGUGCACGGUGCAAACCGUGGGUGUAUCUACUGUUUUGGGUUCUGGAGGACAGUGGCCCUCUUCUCACAGCUCCAUUAGAUAAUGCCCCAGUAGGGACUCUAUGUGGGGGCUCCCACCCCACAUUUCCCUUCCUCACUGCCCUAGCAGAGGUUCUUCAUGAGGGCCUCACCCCUGUAGCAAACUUUUGCCUGCGCACCCAGGCAUUUCUAUAAAUUGUCUGAAAUCUAGGCGGAGGUUUCCAAACCUCAAUUCUUGACUUCUGUGUACUCCCAGGCUCGAUACCACAUGGAAGCUGCCGAGUCUUGGGGCUUGUACUCUCUGAAGCCACAGGCUGAGCUCUAUGUUGGCUCCUUUCAGCCAUGGCUGGAAUGACUGGGACACAGGGCACCAAGUCCCUAGGCUGCACACAGCAUAGGACCCUGGGCCAGGCCCACAAAACCACUUUU
rnacentral:lncRNA from 10 species